CUUAGUUUCAUAAUUAACACACAAGUGAGAUACGCUCCUGCAUAAUGAACUCUAUGUGAAUGACAGUAAAAGAAUCGCGGCUGUUUAACAGACCCAAACCAGUUAUCACGGCGAGCUUCUGUGUCCUAAUGACUCCUGCAGAGCUCGUCCAGCUCCUGCUCUACAGAGACAUUCAACCGGUGUAAAACUUCUGCUAUCGGCCGUGUGUGGGAGUCAUUUCUGUGCGAAGCAUCUGUCUCGGCUAUUCAUAUUUGCUUUUUGUGGUUCGGAUAUUGCAUGCAAUGACAAGGCAUAAAUGUGCGACAGUAGCUCGGCCGCUUUUAAAAACGGUGUAGCUUUUACGAGCUACUUUUGCCAGCGAUCAGCGCUGUAGCGUGACAAAACACUACAGCACUACUUGUGUUUUAUUGCAUUGUCUACAGUAUGGACCAGCGAGCCUGAGAGGAGACUGUGUGAAGAACUGGCGCAUUUGGAAAUAUGAAAUGUCUCCAGCAUUACCCAGAAUGCAACAACAGUGGUACCGGUCUAAUUUCGGAAACCGUCAAUGAGUGGUGACUUCACCAGUCCUCAGACAAAGUGCUAAAGGGAUUUUGCGGCAGAACAAGGAAGACACUCUUCACUUGCUGCUCACAGACAUAAACCAUCAGGAAUGUAGGGAGAGAACAUGCGGUUAUCAAAGAGCUACAAAUGUGACAAAACAUGUUAAUUAACCAAUGAAAUAUGUAUUUUAAUUUUAAGAAUUGUAGAUGCAAAGGCUUUUUUUUCAGGCUCUUUUGUGUAUGUUGAGUAAUUUCACUUUAAUGCCAAUAAAUAGGUCCUUUUCGUUGCCAUUAUAGUGAAAUAACUGAAAAUAAACGCAGGAGCCUGAUAAAAAUGCUCAUUUUAGAGGAAAAUUUCAAACGGCACUUGCAUUGAGUAUUUAACAAGAGUUUAAUAAAUAUUAUAUUACAGA